UCCUGGGUAGCUCAACUGGUAAAGAAUCUGCCUGCAAUGCAGGAGACCCUGGUUUGAUUCCUGGAUUGGGAA
rnacentral:tRNA from 1 species